UACGGGGGGGGCAAGCGUUGUCCGGAAUUACUGGGCGUAAAGCGCGUGUAGGCGGGUGAUCAAGUCGGGUGUGAAAUCCCCGGGCUCAACCUGGGAACUGCAUUUGUGACUGCAUGGCUAGAGUGCGGCAGAGGGAGGUGGAAUUCCACGUGUAGCGGUGAAAUGCGUAGAGAUGUGGAGGAACACCGAUGGCGAAGGCAGCCUCCUGGGCCAACACUGACGCUCAUGCACGAAAGCGUGGGGAGCAAACAGG
rnacentral:rRNA from 1 species